rnacentral:rRNA from 1 species
GAUGAACGCUGGCGGCGUGCCUAACACAUGCAAGUCGAACGGAACUUUUAUGGAUUGAGACUUCGGUUGAUUGAAGUUUAAGUUUAGUGGCGGACGGGUGAGUAACGCGUGAGUAACCUGCCUUUCACAGGGGGAUAACGUUUGGAAACGAACGCUAAUACCGCAUAACAUAUCGGAGUCGCAUGGCUCCGGUAUCAAAGAUUUUAUCGGUGAAAGAUGGACUCGCGUCCGAUUAGGUAGUUGGUGAGGUAAUGGCUCACCAAGCCGACGAUCGGUAGCCGGACUGAGAGGUUGAACGGCCACAUUGGGACUGAGAUACGGCCCAGACUCCUACGGGAGGCAGCAGUGGGGAAUAUUGGGCAAUGGGGAAACCUGACCCAGCAACGCCGCGUGAAGGAAGAAGGCC